CACUAAGAAGCUUUGUAUAGCACUAGCCUUUUAAGCUAGAGAAGGGGAAAUAAUUACCCCCUCAGUGA
rnacentral:tRNA from 1 species